rnacentral:rRNA from 1 species
UACGAAGGGGACUAGCGUUGUUCGGAAUCACUGGGCGUAAAGCGCACGUAGGCGGAUGUGUCAGUCAGGGGUGAAAUCCCGGGGCUCAACCUCGGAACUGCCUUUGAUACAGCACGUCUCGAGUCCGGAAGAGGUGGGUGGAAUUCCUAGUGUAGAGGUGAAAUUCGUAGAUAUUAGGAAGAACACCGGUGGCGAAGGCGGCCAUCUGGACCGAUACUGACGCUGAGGCGCGAAAGCGUGGGGAGCAAACAGG